rnacentral:rRNA from 1 species
UACGUAGGCAGCGAGCGUUGUUCGGAAUUACUGGGCGUAAAGAGUGUGUAGGCGGUGCUCUAAGUUCGGUGUGAAAUCUCCUGGCUCAACUGGGAGGGUGCGCCGAAAACUGGAAGGCUUGAGUAUGGGAGAGGUAAGCGGAAUUCCUGGUGUAGCGGUGAAAUGCGUAGAUAUCAGGAGGAACACCUGCGGUGUAGACGGCUUACUGGACCAUAACUGACGCUGAGGCACGAAAGCGUGGGUAGCAAACAGG